rnacentral:lncRNA from 1 species
AUGGAUGCCAUGUUGCCUUUGCAUGCAUGGCAUGCUUAUCCAUUUCCUUAAUUAAGAGAUGCACCCGCACCUCCUUAAUUAAUUUUUCCUUCCUCUCUUUUCUCUGGAGCCGUACGCAAGGACGAGGAGAACCCGGUUGAAGCUUGGAGCAACGUCGACGUCGCGUCGCGGAGCCGUUCGAGCGCGCGCGUGUUACCGUAGCAUCGCGAGGAGGCCGGGCGAGGGUGCGAUUCCGUCGUUCUCGACGUCUCGCCGUUGUCGGACGCGCUUUCGAGGUGGGUUUAUCAUCGGAUUUCUACUCCUAUAGCCUUGUUAGUCAACAUGUAUAGUUAGGAUAUCUGCGUUGGUACUGUUUAGCUCAGAUUCAUGUUUAUGCAUUGUUCUAGGCCUAUAUAUUGAAUUGGGAGCAUGUUACUGUUUGUUAUUACUUAUACAUGUUGGACUUGGAUAAAACAUAGGAGAAAACCAGUGUUCGGAACCUGUCAUAUGUUAAACUAUCUGAUUUAGCCUUAGGGGCCGUUGUACUUUUAUACUGUUGCAGUAUCCUCAUAGUGAGUAUUCCAGGUAGUUCAGAUUUCAGUUAUGCUCGUGCUGGGAUGCCGAGCCGAUUUUUACAGUAGUGUUUACAGUGUUCCGGACUAGUGGGUGCCGUAGUGGUUGACGGCGGACCCGGAAUUGAUUGUUUCGGUAUCAGAUUGUGCCGAGAGCAUGUGACCAGUGGUUGGUAGUACUGUUAGACCUGUUUUUUGACUUUAGCCUGUGAGAGCCUGAUUGAGCUCGACAGAGAUACGCUUGCAUACUCGGGUGGGUCGCGCCCACGAGUGCCGCUCCGGAGUCUGGCUCUGUGCUUUUGCGUUGAUGUCGCUGAUUAGUUGCUAUCCACGGACUGUUUAGCGUGGAGGUAGCGCGGCUUAGACAGGCGGGACGGGUGCGUACACAGUCCCUAUUGAGAUUGGGUCAGAAUUGAUAAUAAACACAGUUGAAUAGUGUAGU